rnacentral:rRNA from 1 species
CGUACAGGUCUCCGUAGGUGAACCUGCGGAGGGAUCAUUACACAAAUAUGAAGGCGGGCUGGAACCUCUCGGGGUUACAGCCUUGCUGAAUUAUUCACCCUUGUCUUUUGCGUACUUCUUGUUUCCUUGGUGGGUUCGCCCACCACUAGGACAAACAUAAACCUUUUGUAAUUGCAAUCAGCGUCAGUAACAAAUUAAUAAUUACAACUUUCAACAACGGAUCUCUUGGUUCUGGCAUCGAUGAAGAACGCAGCGAAAUGCGAUAAGUAGUGUGAAUAGCAGAAUUCAGUGAAUCAUCGAAUCUUUGAACGCACAUUGCGCCCUUUGGUAUUCCAAAGGGCAUGCCUGUUCGAGCGUCAUUUGUACCCUCAAGCUUUGCUUGGUGUUGGGCGUCUUGUCUCUAGCUUUGCUGGAGACUCGCCUUAAAGUAAUUGGCAGCCGGCCUACUGGUUUCGGAGCGCAGCACAAGUCGCACUCUCUAUCAGCAAAGGUCUAGCAUCCAUUAAGCCUUUUUUUCAACUUUUGACCUCGGAUCAGGUAGGGAUACCCGCUGAACUUAAGCAUAUC